UACGAAGGGAGCAAGCGUUAUCCUAAAUGAUUGGGCGUAAAGGGUUCGUAGGUUGUAAUUGUUGUCAUAUGUGAAAUCUUGAAAUUUUCUUUCAAAUAUGCGUAUGAUACUCUAUUACUUGAGUAUAUCAGGGGAUAACAGAAUGUUAUAUGGAGGAGUAAAAUCCAUUGAGCUAUAAUGGAAUGCCAGUGGCGAAAGCGGUUAUCUGGGAUAUAUACUGACGCUGAGGAACGAAAGCGUGGGGAGCAAACAGG
rnacentral:rRNA from 1 species